CGGGACGGGUGAGUAAUGUCUGGGAAACUAGCCUGAUGGAGGGGGAUAACUACUGGAAACGGUAGCUAAUACCGCAUAACGUCGCAAGACCAAAGAGGGGGACCGUUCGGGCCUCUUGCCAUCGGAUGUGCCCAGAUGGGAUUAGCUAGUAGGUGGGGUAACGGCUCACCUAGGCGACGAUCCCUAGCUGGUCUGAGAGGAUGCCAGCCACACUGGAACUGAGACACGGUCCAG
rnacentral:rRNA from 1 species